UCCUCUGCCCGCCUCCUCUUCCCGCCCGCGAGAGGGGCGUGGCUAGCGCAGCGCGCAUGCGCGCAGGGCAGCGUGAGUGUGUCCCGGGUCCUCAGGUCCAGGCGUUGGCAGGAUGCUAAGCGGGACGCUGUCCGCACGCCGCGCAUGUGCACGGGCGAGCGGCGCUCACUGGGAUCCCGCCGCUUUCCCUGUGGUUUCUCUGGCGUGAACCGAGGCUAACUGCUAAAUCUUCAUCUGGGAAGGCGUCUGUCUUGAUCAGUGUCCUAUCACUUCGAGGAGACCCCAUGACCACUGCAACUCUGACUGGCCUAGAGUUUGCAUCAAUCCCCGUGCCUUAACUCCCAAUUCCUGGGAACAUGGAUGUGUGCAUACAACACAGCUGCCUGUCUUCCCUGUGUAUGUGUGGCAUACACACACAUGUGAACUGGGAUGUGUGUGCACGCAGAGUAUUUGUGCAAAGCAGAGGGUGUUGAAGCCCUUCUCUGCCCCUGCCUUAUCACUUCAGAUAGUGUCCCUCACUACAUUGGCAGCCAGCAGACCUCAGCCCCAAACAGUGCUAGGAUUACAGGCACUCACGACCAUGCCUGGCUUUUACGUGGUUGCUGGGGAUUCAAACGCAGGUCCAAAUGCUUUACCAGAUGAGCCGUUUCUCCAGCUGCCAUCUCUCGUCUUUUCCUCUGUGUUACUGGGUCUUGAACCCAAGACCACAUAGGGGCCAGGCAGGUGCUGUGUCCUUGACCCCAGCCUCUUACAUCUGGCUUGUCCAAGCAGCCCUGAGUGGGUUUUGUUAGGUUUGUGCUUAAAUUAAAGGUUCACUCUAUGGAACAUA